UCUUGUCCAUUUUUGAAGUUCUAAGAGUCAACGCCUGUCAGUCCGUCCUCGAUUCUCUUCUCUGUUAGUCUAUUUGGGUGACCAUGGUUGAUUUAUUGGAUCUGCUUCAGUGGCCAUGGUCUAUUUCUAGGAAACUCAAUCAACAUAGCAUCAUCCCCGGCAAGGAUGGCUGUCUCAUUAUUUUCUCUUGCUUUAUCAUUUUUGCUGAGAUGAGGAACAAAAUACAUGCAGUGUUUGUGAUCCGGUAGGUUUGUUAUCAUUGGGAAUGAAUCUAUUUAGAAAGCCUCCGAAGACUUGUUGAUCUCAAAAGAGAGUUUGUUUCCUUCGAGAUGGAGGAGUGGACGCUCGGAGGAGCCUGUUCAACCCGGCACAAACUCACGGGUAAUAGAGAUCCAAAUAUACAAAUGAAUAUGCACAUGUUUAUAUUUAUGAAUACAUCAUGAAUAUGUGUUUAUUUCUGAGCUUUGGCGAUCUAAACUAAUCGAAAUAUAUGUGAUGAACUGUAUUCAUGUUCGUCAAAUAUUGGUGUAAUUGCUAAUCUUGUAGGCACAGAGAGCUGGAGCAAGAACCAGGGGAAGGACACGGAAAAGAGAGAGAACACACCAGCAAAAAGUUCUUUCCUUCUCAGACCACUCCUCUUUCAUCAUCCGUUUACUUUGCUUGUAAAGCUCUAGACAUCUUCAUUGUAUUAUGUAAAUCUCUCGUACAUUGUGAAAUACAAAUACAUAGCCAAUCUAAUGAA